UACGUAGGGACCGAGCGUUGUCCGGAAUCAUUGGGCGUAAAGAGCGUGUAGGCGGCUUGCUAAGUCUUGCGUGAAAUCUCGGGGCUCAACCCCGAGCGGUCGUGGGAAACUGGCAGGCUAGAGUGCGGGAGAGGAAAAUGGAAUUCCUGGUGUAGCGGUGAAAUGCGUAGAGAUCAGGAGGAACACCCGUGGCGAAGGCGGCCUUCUGGGCCAUUACUGACGCUGAGGAGCGAAAGCGUGGGGAGCGAACAGG
rnacentral:rRNA from 1 species